AAUGAGGUUUGAACGCUUUUCAUUAUAAAUCAUGUGGGCUUUUUUGCUAAAUAGAAAAAGCUCUAUAAUACCCGCGGUGGAGUUACCCACUACAGAUAUUAUAGAGCC
rfam:Streptococcus sp. DD10 genomic scaffold scaffold00010, whole genome shotgun sequence.